AUUGAACGCUGGCGGCAGGCCUAACACAUGCAAGUCGAGCGGAUGAAGGGAGCUUGCUCCUGGAUUCAGCGGCGGACGGGUGAGUAAUGCCUAGGAAUCUGCCUGGUAGUGGGGGAUAACGUCCGGAAACGGGCGCUAAUACCGCAUACGUCCUGAGGGAGAAAGUGGGGGAUCUUCGGACCUCACGCUAUCAGAUGAGCCUAGGUCGGAUUAGCUAGUUGGUGGGGUAAAGGCCUACCAAGGCGACGAUCCGUAACUGGUCUGAGAGGAUGAUCAGUCACACGGGAACUGAGACACGGUCCAGACUCCUACGGGAGGCAGCAGUGGGGAAUAUUGGACAAUGGGCGAAAGCCUGAUCCAGCCAUGCCGCGUGUGUGAAGAAGGUCUUCGGAUUGUAAAGCACUUUAAGUUGGGAGGAAGGGCAGUAAGUUAAUACCUUGCUGUUUUGACGGUACCAACAGAAUAAGCACCGGCUAACUUCGUG
rnacentral:rRNA from 1 species